GAACCCGAAAGGAAGAAGCUAUACGACUGGGGACACAUGUCUUAGAAGCACACUCAUUAGAUAAAGUGUCGCAUACUCUUUGAUAAG
rnacentral:misc_RNA from 1 species